AUCCAGUUGACGAGUCCCAAAUAGGACGAAAGGUGCGUCCUGGAU
rnacentral:hammerhead_ribozyme from 1 species